rnacentral:rRNA from 1 species
GUAUACAGCCAUGCCACCCUGAACAAGCCCAAUCCUGUCUGAUCUCAGAAGCUAAGCAGGGUCAGGCCUGGUUAGUACUUGGAUGGGAGACCACCUAGGAAGACCUGGUGCUGUAGGAG